rnacentral:tRNA from 1 species
GGGGAUAUAGCUCAGUGGUAGUGUGCAUGCAUGCAUGAGGUCCUGGGUUCAAUCCCCAGUACUUCUC